rnacentral:tRNA from 1 species
GCUAGAAUAGUUCAAUUGGUUAAAGCUUGUGGCUGUUAACCACAAGGUCGAAGGUUCAAGCCCUUCCUCCAGUG